rnacentral:rRNA from 1 species
UACGGAGGGUGCAAGCGUUAUCCGGAUUCACUGGGUUUAAAGGGUGCGUAGGAGGGCAGGUAAGUCAGCGGUGAAAUCCCCGAGCUUAACUUGGGAACUGCCAUUGAUACUAUCUGUCUUGAAUAUUGUGGAGGUGAGCGGAAUAUGUCAUGUAGCGGUGAAAUGCUUAGAUAUGACAUAGAACACCGAUAGCGGAGGCAGCUUGCUACACAGUCAUUGACACUGAGGCACGAAAGCGUGGGGAUCAAACAGG